AUUGAACGCUGGCGGCAUGCCUUACACAUGCAAGUCGAACGGCAGCACGGGUGCUUGCACCUGGUGGCGAGUGGCGAACGGGUGAGUAAUACAUCGGAACGUACCUUAUCGUGGGGGAUAACGCAGCGAAAGCUGUGCUAAUACCGCAUACGCCCUGAGGGGGAAAGCGGGGGAUCGCAAGACCUCGCGCGAUUAGAGCGGCCGAUGCCUGAUUAGCUUGUUGGUGGGGUAAAAGCCCACCAAGGCGACGAUCAGUAGCUGGUCUGAGAGGACGAUCAGACACACUGGGACUGAGACACGGCCCAGACUCCUACGGGAGGCAGCAGUGGGGAAUUUUGGACAAUGGGGGCAACCCUGAUCCAGCAAUGCCGCGGGAGUGAAGAAGGCCUUCGGGUUGUAAAGCUCUUUUGUCAGGGAAGAAACACCGGCUCUAACACAGUCCGGGAAUGACGGUACCUGAAGAAUAAGCACCGGCUAACUACGUGCCAGCAGCCGCCGUAA
rnacentral:rRNA from 1 species